rnacentral:lncRNA from 1 species
CAGACACCGUCAGGGAAUCAGCUGUAGCAGAAUCAUCUGGAGAGGUUUUGAGAGUCAGUCCCGGCAAGAAAGGAUUCCUCAGAGGCAAUUCAGGAGGGAAAUGGAAUUCCUCUGGAAAUACACAUCAUGGAAGCUUGAGUUCUUUUGGGUGGCUGGAGUUAAAUCUCUGAUUCCAAAAAGGAUGCCAUCUCUGGAAGACAGGGACUGAGCCAAGGGCAUGGACCUAGGAUUUGACUCUCAGCUUUGGAAUCCUGCUAACUUCUAGUUUC